GCAAGGAUUUCCGAGCGGUCAAAGGAGCAAGGUUAAGGACCUUGUAGCGUAAGCUUUCGCCGGUUCGAAUCCGGUUCCUUGCA
rnacentral:tRNA from 10 species